rnacentral:rRNA from 1 species
UGCCAGCCGCCGCGGUAAUACGAAGGGGGCGCGCGUUGUUCGGAAUUACUGGGCGUAAAGCGCACGUAGGCGGAUUAAUAAGUCAGGGGUGAAAUCCCGAGGCUCAACCUCGGAACUGCCUUUGAUACUGUUAGUCUUGAGUUCGAGAGAGGUGAGUGGAAUUCCGAGUGUAGAGGUGAAAUUCGUAGAUAUUCGGAGGAACACCAGUGGCGAAGGCGGCUCACUGGCUCGAUACUGACGCGGAGGUGCGAAAGCGUGGGGAGCAAACAGGAUUAGAUA